UAGGGAAUCUUCCGCAAUGGACGAAAGUCUGACGGAGCAACGCCGCGUGAGUGAUGAAGGUUUUCGGAUCGUAAAACUCUGUUGUUAGGGAAGAACAAGUUGGGUAGUAACUGACCCAACCUUGACAGUACCUAACCAGAAAGCCACGGCUAACUACGUGCCAGCAGCCGCGGUAAUACGUAGGUGGCAAGCGUUGUCCGGAAUUAUUGGGCGUAAAGCGCUCGCAGGCGGUCUUUUAAGUCUGAUGUGAAAGCCCACGGCUUAACCGUGGAGGGUCAUUGGAAACUGGAGGACUUGAGUACAGAAGAGGAGAGUGGAAUUCCACGUGUAGCGGUGAAAUGCGUAGAGAUGUGGAGGAACACCAGUGGCGAAGGCGACUCUCUGGUCUGUAACUGACGCUGAGGAGCGAAAGCGUGGGUAGCGAACAGG
rnacentral:rRNA from 1 species